AUUGAACGCUGGCGGCAUGCCUUACACAUGCAAGUCGAACGGUAACAGGUCUUCGGAUGCUGACGAGUGGCGAACGGGUGAGUAAUACAUCGGAACGUGCCUAGUAGUGGGGGAUAACUACUCGAAAGAGUGGCUAAUACCGCAUGAGAUCUACGGAUGAAAGCAGGGGAUCGCAAGACCUUGUGCUACUAGAGCGUCCGAUGGCAGAUUAGGUAGUUGGUGGGAUAAAAGCUUACCAAGCCGACGAUCUGUAGCUGGUCUGAGAGGACGAUCAGCCACACUGGGACUGAGACACGGCCCAGACUCCUACGGGAGGCAGCAGUGGGGAAUUUUGGACAAUGGGCGCAAGCCUGAUCCAGCAAUGCCGCGUGCAGGAUGAAGGCCUUCGGGUUGUAAACUGCUUUUGUACGGAACGAAAAGCCCUGGGUUAAUACCCUGGGGUCAUGACGGUACCGUAAGAAUAAGCACCGGUUAACUACGUGCCAGCAGCCGCCGUAAAAC
rnacentral:rRNA from 1 species